AAGACUUGACAUUGUAAUGCUAGCCUGGGAAACCAGGUGUCCCUUCGGGGCGUUAUGACAGAUGCUGCAUGGCUGUCGUCAGCUCGUGCCGUGAGGUGUUGGGUUAAGUCCCGCAACGAGCGCAACCCUUGUCGCUAGUUGAUUUCUCUAGCGAGACUGCCCCGCGAAACGGGGAGGAUGGUGGGGAUGACGUCAAGUCAGCACGGCUCUUACGUCUUGGGCUACACACACGCUACAAUGGGUGGUACAGAGGGUUGCGAAGGAGCGAUCUGGAGCUAAUCUCACAAAGCCAUCCUCAGUUCGGAUUGCAGGCUGCAACUCGCCUGCAUGAAGU
rnacentral:rRNA from 1 species